CCUACGGGAGGCAGCAGUGAGGAAUAUUGGUCAAUGGGCGGAAGCCUGAACCAGCCAAGUAGCGUGCAGGAUGACGGCCCUACGGGUUGUACACUGCUUUUAUACGGGAAUAACGCGCCUUUCGUGUAGGGCUUUGCAUGUACCGUAUGAAUAAGGAGCGGCAAACUCCGUGCCAGCAGCCGCGGUAAUACGGAGGAUGAGUGGGUUCUCCGGUUUUGUUGGGUUUAAAGGGUGCGUAGGCGGUCUGUUAAGUCCGCGGUAACAGCCGGGGGAUCAACCCCGGCCCGCAGUUGAGACUGGCAGUCUCGAGUGAGAGAGAAGUAUGCGGAAUGCGCGGUGUAGCGGUGAAAUGCAUAGAUAUCGCGCAGAACUCCGAUUGCGAAGGCAGCAUGCCGGCUCCACACUGACGCUGAGGCACGAAAGCGUGGGUAUCGAACAGGAUUAGAUACCCUAGUAGUC
rnacentral:rRNA from 1 species